UUUUAAAUAAAUCUUAAGGGCAAAACCCACUCACAAGAUAAGGGAAGAGAUUUCAUCACUCUUUCCUUGGCCCACAACGACUUAAUCCUUCAUUUUGCAUUCCCUAGCCUUUUAAUAAAAUUGAAUUAGACAUUAGCCCCUAGGUUUCGCGCUCAAUUAGGAAGGUACCUAAAGAACGAGGUAAUCUUUAAUUAUUCCGACUUUUCGGUGUCUAAGGCAAGCGAAAGCUUACCUGGCCGAUUAAGGUUUGGUGUCUAAGCGCGGAGAUUGGCCUCUUGGCAAUGCCUGCUCCAAACUGGC
rnacentral:lncRNA from 1 species